ACAUUAUAGGCAGGAAUGUUUGACUGGAAAUAUAAACGAUGUUGUACAUAAUGCAGAUAGCUUAGGCAAAAAAGAGAUUGGUGAAAUGGAGAAUGAGACUAACUAGGGU
rnacentral:lncRNA from 1 species